rnacentral:rRNA from 1 species
CCUACGGGUGGCAGCAGUGGGGAAUAUUGGACAAUGGGCGAAAGCCUGAUCCAGCAAUGCCGCGUGUGUGAAGAAGGCCUUCGGGUUGUAAAGCACUUUCAGUGGGGAAGAAAGCCUUGGGGCUAAUACCCUCGAGGAAGGACAUCACCCACAGAAGAAGCACCGGCUAACUCCGUGCCAGCAGCCGCGGUAAUACGGAGGGUGCGAGCGUUAAUCGGAAUUACUGGGCGUAAAGCGCGCGUAGGCGGUCUGAUAAGCCGGUUGUGAAAGCCCCGGGCUCAACCUGGGAACGGCAUCCGGAACUGUCAGGCUAGAGUGCAGGAGAGGAAGGUAGAAUUCCCGGUGUAGCGGUGAAAUGCGUAGAGAUCGGGAGGAAUACCAGUGGCGAAGGCGGCCUUCUGGACUGACACUGACGCUGAGGUGCGAAAGCGUGGGUAGCAAACAGGAUUAGAUACCCUAGUAGUC